GACGAACGCUGGCGGCGUGCUUAACACAUGCAAGUCGAACGGAAAGGCCCUGCUUUUGUGGGGUGCUCGAGGGGCGAACGGGUGAGUAACACGUGAGUAACCUGCCCUUGACUUUGGGAUAAAUUCAAGAAACUGGGGAUAAUACCGGAUAGGAGCUCCUGCUGCACGGUGGGGGGUGGAAAGUUUCGGCGGGUGGGGAUGGACUCGCGGCUUAUCAGCUUGUUGGUGGGGUAGUGGCUUACCAAGGCUUUGACGGGUAGCCGGCCUGAGAGGGUGACCGGCCACAUUGGGACUGAGAUACGGCCCAGACUCCUACGGGAGGCAGCAGUGGGGAAUAUUGCACAAUGGGCGGAAGCCUGAUGCAGCAACGCCGCGUGCGGGAUGACGGCCUUCGGGUUGUAAACCGCUUUCGCCUGUGACGAAGCGUGAGUGACGGUAAUGGGUAAAGAAGCACCGGCUAACUACGUG
rnacentral:rRNA from 1 species